rnacentral:rRNA from 1 species
GACGAACGCUGGCGGCGUGCUUAACACAUGCAAGUCGAACGGAAAGGCCCUGCUUUUGUGGGGUGCUCGAGUGGCGAACGGGUGAGUAACACGUGAGUAACCUGCCCUUGACUUUGGGAUAACUUCAGGAAACUGGGGCUAAUACCGGAUAGGAGCUCCUGCUGCAUGGUGGGGGUUGGAAAGUUUCGGCGGUUGGGGAUGGACUCGCGGCUUAUCAGCUUGUUGGUGGGGUAGUGGCUUACCAAGGCUUUGACGGGUAGCCGGCCGGAGAGGGUGACCGGCCACAUCGGGACUGAGAUACGGCCGAGACUCCUACGGGAGGAAGCAGUGGGGAAUAUUGCACAAUGGGCGGAAGCCGGAUGCAGCAACGCCGCGUGCGGGAUGACGGCCUUCGGGUUGUAAAACGCUUUCGCCUGUGACGAAGCGUGAGUGACGGUAAUGGGUAAAGAAGCAACGGCUAACUACGUG